CUUAAGCAUAUCAAUAAGCGGAGGAAAAGAAACCAACAGGGAUUGCCCUAGUAACGGCGAGUGAAGCGGCAACAGCUCAAAUUUGAAAUCUGGCGCAAGCCCGAGUUGUAAUUUGUAGAGGAUGUUUCGGCGUCGGCCCCGUCCUAAGUUCCUUGGAACAGGACGUCCUAGAGGGUGAGAACCCCGUCUUCGGUCGGGUCGCCGUCGCCAUGUGAAACUCCUUCGACGAGUCGAGUUGUUUGGGAAUGCAGCUCUAAGCGGGAGGUAAAUUUCUUCUAAAGCUAAAUAACGGCCAGAGACCGAUAGCGCACAAGUAGAGUGAUCGAAAGAUGAAAAGCACUUUGGAAAGAGAGUUAAACAGCACGUGAAAUUGUUAAUAGGGAAGCUCAAGCUGCCAGACUUGACCUCGACUCUUCGGUGUCGAGGGCAGGCCAGCAUCAGUUCGGGCGGCCUGAUAAAGACCCUGGGAAUGUAGCUCCCCCGGGAGUGUUAUAGCCUAGGGUGUAAUGGGGCCAGCCUGGACUGAGGAUCGCGUUCGCUAGGAUGCUGGCGUAAUGGCAGUUUGCGACCCGUCUUGAAACACGGACCAAGGAGUCUAACAUCUAUGCGAGUGUUUGGGUGUAAAACCCAUGCGCGUAAUGAAAGUGAACGGAGGUGGGAACCGCAAGGUGCACCAUCGACCGAUCCUGAUGUCUUCGGAUGGAUUUGAGUAAGAGCAUAGCUGUUGGGACCCGAAAGAUGGUGAACUAUGCCUGAAUAGGGUGAAGCCAGAGGAAACUCUGGUGGAGGCUCGCAGCGGUUCUGACGUGCAAAUCGAUCGUCAAAUUUGGGUAUAGGGGCGAAAGACUAAUCGAACCAUCUAGUAGCUGGUUCCAGCCGAAG
rnacentral:rRNA from 1 species